CCUAAACUUCUCCUUAUCUGUAACUUAUCCCUCCGAAACCGCGCGCGCUCUGCUGUCCAAAACAAGCGCCAGGUUCCUCCAGAGCUGCGCCAGAGCUGCUCUCUCACGCGGCAAGUAGAAGCACGACCUCCUGCGCGUGGGGCGGCCAGGUGCAGCUCACUGCCUCUCCCAGCCCUGACGAACACGCGCCGCUCACCUGCCGAGCUCCAGCAGCCAUUUGGCCAUUUGCUUACGGUCCCACUCUCGCUUUCAGUCUCGCAUUAUUUCCGCCUCUCUCUCUCUCUCUCUCUCUCUCUCUUCCUUUCUUUCUCUUUAGCCCUCCUCUACUCUUUCUCUCUCUCUCUUUCUCUCUCUUUAGCUCUCUCUCCCUCUCUCUUUAGCUCUCUCUCUACCUCUCUCUCCCUGUCCUCAGACCUCUCUCUCUUUAUGUCUCUCUAUUUCUCCCUCUUUUUCUCUCUCACUUUAGCUCUCUCUCUCUCUGUCUCUUUCUCUCUUUCUUUCUCUCUCUCUCUCUCUCUCUCUCUCUCUCUCUCUCUCAGACACGCGCGCCUCCACGCUCCCGCUGAAAUCUCUAGAAGAGUUUGUGUGACUGACAGGUCCGGGAACUUAAGCCCCGCCCCCUGCACGCAGUGUUUUUUUUUACAGUCUGUGUUCUGUGUUAAAGGGGCCCAUAUCAUAAAUUUGCUUGUGUACAACCACCCAUAUAGUUUGCCACCCAAUUAGUUUGCUGGUGCUUUUUGGCGCGCAACCAGGGGGAACACCUUAGCAACUUCCUAGCAACACAUUAUCAACCACCUAUCGAGCAAUUAGCAACACUUUAGCAUACACUUUGAAUAACAUGGUGUUGCACCUUUCUAACAACACCUUAGUAACCACCUCAGAUAUGAUCGCCCGUCUAUCAACCACUUAAGCGAUACUUUAGCAACCACCUGAAAUACCUUAGCCGCCGCCUAGUAAUACCUUGCAAACUAUCUCAGAUAUUAUACCAACAACCCUGCAACCACUUAUCAACACCAAAGGAACCUCCUUAAAUACCUUAGCCACUGCCUUGUAAUAUCUUAC
rnacentral:lncRNA from 1 species